UACAGAGGUCUCAAGCGUUGUUCGGAUUCAUUGGGCGUAAAGGGUGCGUAGGUGGCAAGGUAAGUCGGGUGUGAAAUCCCGGGGCUCAACCCUGGAACUGCACUCGAUACUGCCAUGCUCGAGUACUGGAGAGGAGACUGGAAUUUACGGUGUAGCAGUGAAAUGCGUAGAUAUCGUAAGGAAGACCAGUGGCGAAGGCGAGUCUCUGGACAGUUACUGACAGCUGA
rnacentral:rRNA from 1 species